CCUACGGGAGGCUGCAGUGAGGAAUAUUGGUCAAUGGACGAGAGUCUGAACCAGCCAAGUAGCGUGAAGGAGGACGGCCCUAUGGGUUGUAGACUUCUUUUAUAUGGGAAUAAAAUGCUCCACGUGUAGGAUUCUGUAUGUACCCUAUGAAUAAGGAUCGGCUAACUCCGUGCCAGCAGCCGCGGUAAUACGGAGGAUCCGAGCGUUACCCGGAUUUACUGGGUUUAAAGGGAGCGUAGGUGGAUUAGUAAGUCAGUUGUGAAAGUUUGCGGCUCAACCGUAAAAUUGCAGUUGAAACUGGCAGUCUAGAGUACAGUAGAGGUAGGUGGAAUUCGUGGUGUAGCGGUAAAAUGCUUAGAUAUCACGAAGAACUCCGAUUGCGAAGGCGGCUCACUGGACUGCAACUGACGCUGAGGCUCGAAAGUGUGGGUAUCAAACAGGAUUAGAUACCCUUGUAGUC
rnacentral:rRNA from 1 species